rnacentral:rRNA from 1 species
GCAGGGUGGCCAGUAAUCAGCACAAUUUAGAAUGUGGGCACUCGGCAGUCAUUGCGCAGGCACUUUGGUGACUCUUGAUAACCUUGGGCCGAUCGCACGACCCUUUGAUGGCGACAACGCAUUUGGAUGUCUGCCCUAUCAACUUUCAAUGGUACUUUCUGUGCCUACCAAGGUGACCAUGGGUAACAGGGAAUCAGGGUUCGAUUCCGGAGAGGGAGCCUGAGAAACAGCUACCACAUCCAAGGAAGGCAGCAGGCACGCAAAUUACCCACUCCUGACGCGGGGAGGUAGUGAC